rnacentral:rRNA from 1 species
ACGGUGAGUAACACGUAUGCAAUCCACCUGUAACAGGGGGAUAACCCGGAGAAAUCCGGACUAAUACCCCAUAAUAUGGGCGCUCCGCAUGGAGAGUCCAUUAAAGAGAGCAAUCUUGGUUACAGACGAGCAUGCGCUCCAUUAGCCAGUUGGCGGGGUAACGGCCCACCAAGGCGACGAUGGAUAGGGGUUCUGAGAGGAAGGUCCCCCACAUUGGAACUGAGACACGGUCCAA